rnacentral:misc_RNA from 1 species
GUUGGACACAAAUUCCUUGAGGAUGGAACGAAGGUUCGGUACCUGGUCAAGACUGGUGAAAUAAUUGACAGUGCUGAGAAUUGGGUCAAGGUGUUCAAGGAAGGAAGUUCGGAGUGAUCAUGGUAGCAUGGGAGUCCUGCACAUUUUCUGAACUGCACUUUUUGUAUGCCCAAAUGAGUUGAUGCUUUUCUAGAUUCAGAUUUCAGAGUCUUGUAAAUUUCUAUACAGUUGCCAACAUUUUUUUGUAUCCAAUGA